GUCUUCCAGUAGAUCUUUCUUCUCUCACUGUGGCUUUCCAGCAGGACCCCUCACAGUCUGUCACCACAGAGUGCCCUUCCUUCCGUGCCAUCUUCAGGAGCUCUCCAGGUGAGAUGGACCAGUUUGAAAAUGCUGGAAGCUCUGCAAGACUUCACUGCAUCCAGGAUGAACCGCAAUGGAACAUGGGUGUGGAAGAAUUCAGGGAGUUGAACCAGAGACCAGUACUAUUGCUGCUGACAAUGCCAAGGUGUCUAAAUGGAGAUUUUGCAUAUAAUGAAAUGGAUAUGUUCUAUGCACUGGGAAGGCAGUGGCUGCUUGG